GACGUAGGGCGCGAGCGUUGUCCGGAUUUAUUGGGCGUAAAGAGCUCGUAGGCGGCUUGUCGCGUCGUCCGUGAAAACCUGCAGCUCAACUGCAGGCUUGCGGUCGAUACGGGCAGGCUAGAGUUCGGUAGGGGAGACUGGAAUUCCUGGUGUAGCGGUGAGAUGCGCAGAUAUCAGGAGGAACACCGGUGGCGAAGGCGGGUCUCUGGGCCGAUACUGACGCUGAGGAGCGAAAGCGUGGGGAGCGAACAGG
rnacentral:rRNA from 1 species